AGUGUGAUUGCUGGGUUAUAUGGUAAGAGUAUAUUUCGUUUUGUAAGAAACUGAUAAACUAUCUUCCAAAGUGGAUAUACUAUUUUGCAUUCUCACUAGCAAU
rnacentral:pre_miRNA from 1 species